GACGAACGCUGGCGGCGUGCCUAAUACAUGCAAGUAGAACGCUGAAGGAGGAGCUUGCUUCUCCGGAUGAGUUGCGAACGGGUGAGUAACGCGUAGGUAACCUGCCUGGUAGCGGGGGAUAACUAUUGGAAACGAUAGCUAAUACCGCAUAAGAGUAGAUGUCGCAUGACAUUUGCUUAAAAGGUGCAACUGCACCACUACCAGAUGGACCUGCGUUGUAUUAGCUAGUUGGUGAGGUAACGGCUCACCAAGGCAACGAUACAUAGCCGACCUGAGAGGGUGAUCGGCCACACUGGGACGGAGACACGGCCCAGAAUCCUACGGGAGGCAGCAGGAGGGAAUCUUCGGCAAUGGACGGAAGGCUGACCGAGGAACGCCGCGUGAGGGAAGAAGGGUGUCGGAUCGGAAAGCUCGGUUGUAAGAGAAGAACGAGUGUGAGAGUGGAAAGUUCACACUGUGACGGUACCUUAUCAGAAAGGGACGGCUAACUACGUG
rnacentral:rRNA from 1 species